rnacentral:misc_RNA from 1 species
GGAAGUAAAAGUCGUAACAAGUUUCCGUAGGUGAACCUGCGGAAGGAUCAUUAUCGUACAAAAUGUGAGGGGCAUGCGAGGGCUGUCGCUGACCCAAAAGUCGUGCACGCCCGAGUGUGUCCUCUUGCAUAAUAAUCCAUCUCACCCUUUGUGCAUCACCGCGUGGGCACCCUUCGGGAUCAUCUCGGAGGGGGGCUCGCGUUUUCACACAAACCCCCCUUUUAAAAGAGUAGAAUGACCACAUUUAUGCAAUCAAUACAACUUUCAACAACGGAUCUCUUGGCUCUC